AUCGUUGGAGAUCUCCUGC
rnacentral:siRNA from 1 species